rnacentral:rRNA from 1 species
GAUAAACGCUGGCGGCGUGCCUAAUACAUGCAAGUCGAGCGAACGGACGAGAAGCUUGCUUCUCUGAUGUUAGCGGCGGACGGGUGAGUAACACGUGGAUAACCUACCUAUAAGACUGGGAUAACUUCGGGAAACCGGAGCUAAUACCGGAUAAUAUUUUGAACCGCAUGGUUCAAAAGUGAAAGACGGUCUUGCUGUCACUUAUAGAUGGAUCCGCGCUGCAUUAGCUAGUUGGUAAGGUAACGGCUUACCAAGGCAACGAUGCAUAGCCGACCUGAGAGGGUGAUCGGCCACACUGGAACUGAGACACGGUCCAGACUCCUACGGGAGGCAGCAGUAGGGAAUCUUCCGCAAUGGGCGAAAGCCUGACGGAGCAACGCCGCGUGAGUGAUGAAGGUCUUCGGAUCGUAAAACUCUGUUAUUAGGGAAGAACAUAUGUGUAAGUAACUGUGCACAUCUUGACGGUACCUAAUCAGAAAGCCACGGCUAACUACGUGCCAGCAGCCGCGGUAAUACGUAGGUGGCAAGCGUUAUCCGGAAUUAUUGGGCGUAAAGCGCGCGUAGGCGGUUUUUUAAGUCUGAUGUGAAAGCCCACGGCUCAACCGUGGAGGGUCAUUGGAAACUGGAAAACUUGAGUGCAGAAGAGGAAAGUGGAAUUCCAUGUGUAGCGGUGAAAUGCGCAGAGAUAUGGAGGAACACCAGUGGCGAAGGCGACUUUCUGGUCUGUAACUGACGCUGAUGUGCGAAAGCGUGGGGAUCAAACAGGAUUAGAUACCCUGGUAGUCCACGCCGUAAACGAUGAGUGCUAAGUGUUAGGGGGUUUCCGCCCCUUAGUGCUGCAGCUAACGCAUUAAGCACUCCGCCUGGGGAGUACGACCGCAAGGUUGAAACUCAAAGGAAUUGACGGGGACCCGCACAAGCGGUGGAGCAUGUGGUUUAAUUCGAAGCAACGCGAAGAACCUUACCAAAUCUUGACAUCCUUUGACAACUCUAGAGAUAGAGCCUUCCCCUUCGGGGGACAAAGUGACAGGUGGUGCAUGGUUGUCGUCAGCUCGUGUCGUGAGAUGUUGGGUUAAGUCCCGCAACGAGCGCAACCCUUAAGCUUAGUUGCCAUCAUUAAGUUGGGCACUCUAAGUUGACUGCCGGUGACAAACCGGAGGAAGGUGGGGAUGACGUCAAAUCAUCAUGCCCCUUAUGAUUUGGGCUACACACGUGCUACAAUGGACAAUACAAAGGGCAGCGAAACCGCGAGGUCAAGCAAAUCCCANUAAGUUGUUCUCAGUUCGGAUUGUAGUCUGCAACUCGACUACAUGAAGCUGGAAUCGCUAGUAAUCGUAGAUCAGCAUGCUACGGUGAAUACGUUCCCGGGUCU